rnacentral:rRNA from 1 species
CAGUAGCCACGGGAAUGCGAAGGGGGCUAGCGUUGUUCGGAAUUACUGGGCGUAAAGCGCGUGUAGGCGGGUCUUUAAGUCAGGGGUGAAAUGCCAAGGCUCAACCUUGGAACUGCCUUUGAUACUGGAGAUCUUGAGUCCGGGAGAGGUGAGUGGAAUUGCGAGUGUAGAGGUGAAAUUCGUAGAUAUUCGCAAGAACACCAGUGGCGAAGGCGGCUCACUGGCCCGGAACUGACGCUGAGACGCGAAAGCGUGGGGAGCAAACAGGAUUAGAUACCCCCGUAGUCCCUGUCUCUUAUAC